GUGCUCGCUUCUGCAGCGCAUCCACUCAAAUUGGAACGACACGGAUCAGCGUGGCCCUGCGCAAGGACGACGCCCAAAUCCAUGAAGCGUUCCACAAAAAA
rnacentral:snRNA from 1 species